GUCUCUUCUGAUAGAUACCCAAAGCUGGGCACAGAGGUCUCUUGAAGGGAUUUCCACCUGUACCUACGAUCUUUAGCCAUUUAUGUCUAGCGGCUCCCUGCGACUUGUUUGACUUCGUCUAUUCAUCUAAUGAGGGAAGUCCGUGGAUGGCUGUUUAUAUCCACUACUACGAAGCCGGAAGUUUACGAAUACAUUCAAUAACACAUAAUAUAAAGAUGAAUGAUUUGUUGAACAGACUUGAAGAAUCCGAAUACGAAUCGUGGUUACUAAAAACCUCACGAAGGUGGUUGCCGAAAAGUGAAAUGCCAUAUCCUGGGUACUGCAGAGCCCCUGGCAGUGGAAAAUGCCUGCCAGUUUUAUGCAACUGCAAGAAAUUGAUUGAAAUAUGGAAGAAAUUAAAAGAAAAAAAUCUAACUUACUUGAGAUCAAACGUUUCUAGUGUAAAAAAUAAAUAAGUGUGAGAUAAAAUAAUUAUCUAUUUUAUU